rnacentral:rRNA from 1 species
CCUACGGGAGGCAGCAGUGAGGAAUAUUGGUCAAUGGCCGAGAGGCUGAACCAGCCAAGUCGCGUGAGGGAAGACGGCCCUCCGUGUUGUAAACUUCUUUUGUCGGGGAGUAAAGAGAGUCACGUGUGACUCAUUGAGAGUAUCCGAAGAAAAAGCAUCGGCUAACACCGUGUCAGCGGCCGCGGUAAUACGGAGGAUGCGGGCGUUAUCCGGUUUUAUUGGGUUUAAGGGGUGCGUAGGGGGAAUGCAAUGUCUGCGGUAAAAGCGUGGGGCUAAACCUCGCUCGGCUGUUGAAACUGGCGGUCUUGAGUGGGCGAGAGGUAUGCGGAAUGCGUGGUGUAGCGGUGAAAUGCGUAGAUAUCACGAAGAACUCCGAUUGCGAAGGCAGCAUACCGGCGCGCAACUGACGCUGAGGCACGAAAGCGUGGGUAUCGAACAGGAUUAGAUACCCGGGUAGUC